rnacentral:rRNA from 1 species
UUUCGAAUCAUUCACAAUGGGCGAAAGCCUGAUGGUGCGACGCCGCGUGAGGGAUGAAGGCCUUCGGGUUGUAAACCUCUGUCACCGGGGAAGAAACGCUUCAAGUUAACAGCUUGAAGCCUGACUUAACCCGGAGAGGAAGCAGUGGCUAACUCUGUGCCAGCAGCCGCGGUAAUACAGAGACUGCAAGCGUUAUUCGGAUUCACUGGGCGUAAAGGGUGCGCAGGCGGCCGGGUGUGUCAGAUGUGAAAUCCCGAGGCUUAACCUCGGAACUGCGUCUGAAACUACUCGGCUAGAGUGCAGAAGGGGCAAUCGGAAUUCUUGGUGUAGCGGUGAAAUGCGUAGAUAUCAAGAGGAACACCUGAGGUGAAGACGGGUUGCUGGGCUGACACUGACGCUGAGGCGCGAGAGCAAGGGGAGCAAACAGGAUUAGAUACCCCAGUAGUCCCUGAGCGGGCUGGCAAGGCGCAU